CCCUUCUCUAAAGCACCCUGCUCAAACUGCAGGAGCCAAGCCUUCGGGUUUAGCUCAUGUGGCCGUGUUAGCAGUGGUACACCAGGGAAGGACAAUAAAGGCACAGUGUCGCAAUUGAGUCUCUGGGGGACCUCUUUCUUAAUGUCCAGUCCCCUUUGUCUCAAGAUCCUGUGCUACACAU